rnacentral:rRNA from 1 species
UACGUAGGGUGCAAGCGUUGUCCGGAAUUACUGGGCGUAAAGCGUGCGCAGGCGGUUCGUUAAGUCAGAUGUGAAAGCCCCGGGCUCAACCUGGGAAUGGCAUUUGAAACUGGCGGGCUGGAGUGUGGCAGAGGGGGGUGGGAAUUCCACGUGUAGCAGUGAAAUGCGUAGAGAUGUGGAGGAACACCGAUGGCGAAGGCAGCCCCCUGGGCCAACACUGACGCUCAGGCACGAAAGCGUGGGGAGCAAACAGG